CCCUUAGACGCUCUAGGCGGCACGCGCGCUACAAUGGGUGGUAGAACGUGUAACUGCUCCCGAAAGGGAGGGUGAACCACGAAUACUUACCCGUGAAUGGGAUAGUUUGUUGCAAUUUUCGGACUUGAACUAGGAAUCCCUUGUAAGAAUGCUCAAGAAUAGCGUGCUGAAUACGUCCCUGCCGUUUGUACACACCGCCCGUCGUUUCUUCCGACUGAUACUCAUUGUGAGUUGCAAGGAUUCUUAUUGAAAAGUUGCUGCGAAUGCUUUGUAUUGGAGGAAGAAAAAGUCGUAACA
rnacentral:rRNA from 1 species